CAUGGGCUCCCGCAGAAACGGAUAAAUAUUUGCUGUAGAUAACGGUUAGAUCUAGGUUAUGGUUCGCUUUUCGAAUGUGAGAGAUAAGCUAUAUGCGCGAGACAUAUGAUGUGGUCAUACAUACAAUGCGUUACUUUUUUUAACUGUCCUGAUAAGAGAAAGUGAAGCAAAACCUCAGUAUCCUGCAUUUGUUCGACAAACUUGACUUAUCAGUGGCAACAAUUAACGAGACUGCACGAAUUUUAACACAGCCUAGGAUUUAUUAGGCAAAUGGGCAGCAACGUUUUCAACUAUAUCGAUCGAGUAUCGAAACUUCAUUCCCGAUUUUCUCCAAUGUAAAUACCGACAUUAUUUCCUGCAAAACUCCUUUUCGCUAUCCUAUAGGCCUUAACUAAGCUUCAACAGGUAAAACGCCACACAAAAUAUUAUUAAAUUUGACCGCAACAUUAUUAUUAGGUGAAAUCUUAAAUAAACCGCACCGCGCGUAAUUCAUUUCGAAUCAGCAUCAUAUUAUUAUUCAAAAAUCCAAAUAGCUUUUAUUUAAAACAAUAUGAGACUUUGCCGUUCAUUAUGCAAGAUUAAAUCCCCCACACGGGAAGACAAAAAAAUAGCAUGUGUGCUCUUUUCUUUAUGGUUUCUAAUACUAGUUGCAGCAAUAGUCUGUCUGAACCGACGGAACGCAAGGGUCUCGCGUCCAAUGAAGAACAGCAAUCUCGACCACUAUGAAAAUUCUGGAGAAGAAAAUCCUACUAUAACAACCAGUAUCUUGUAUCAAACUGGACAUUAUAUGCCAUUUAAUGACGUAUGUCCACAGCAAGGUGAGGGAAUGAAGUUGAUGAUUUUGGUGACUUCUGCUACUAGUCACG